rnacentral:rRNA from 1 species
UACGGAGGAUCCGAGCGUUAUCCGGAUUUAUUGGGUUUAAAGGGUGCGUAGGUGGUCUGUUAAGUCAGGGGUGAAAGACGGUAGCUCAACUAUCGCAGUGCCCUUGAUACUGAUGGGCUUGAAUGAACUAGAGGUAGGCGGAAUGUGACAAGUAGCGGUGAAAUGCAUAGAUAUGUCACAGAACACCAAUUGCGAAGGCAGCUUACUAUGGUUUUAUUGACACUGAGGCACGAAAGCGUGGGGAUCAAACAGG